rnacentral:lncRNA from 1 species
GCACAAAAUAAUAUAAAUAUAAAAAUAAAUAAACCACUUUUUAACUUUUAUUCCUCCUAUUCGCUGCUUACCACAAACCCGUGUCUCUCUCUCCCUCAGCACAGAAUAAGGGUAGUUGAUACUAGAAGAAGAAGAAGAAGAAGAAGAAGAAGAAGAAGAAGAUAUAUCUGAGAGAUUUUGUUAUUCAAAUAGUAAAAAUAAGAAAUUAAUUAAAUGGUGAGGAUAAUACCUAUGGUGUCCUCCUCAAUUAGACCAUCAUCCUACCUGACUUGUUCU